GUCUGCAGCCAUGCCACCCUGAACAAGCCCGAUCCCGUCUGAUCUCGGAAGCUAUGCAGGGUCGGGUCUGGUUAGUACUUGGAUGGGAGACCACCUAGGAAGACCAGGUGCUAUAGACA
rnacentral:rRNA from 1 species